AUACGGAGGGUGCAAGCGUUAAUCGGAAUUACUGGGCGUAAAGCGUACGGAGGUGGUUUAUUAAGUCAGAUGUGAAAGCCCCGGGCUUAACCUGGGAACUGCAUUUGAAACUGGUAUACUAGAGUAUGGUAGAGGCGGGUAGAAUUCAUAGUGUAGCGGUGAAAUGCGUAGAUAUUAUGAGGAAUACCAGUGGCGAAGGCGGCCCGCUGGACCAAUACUGACACUGAGGUACGAAAGCGUGGGGAGCGAACAGGAUUAGAAACCCUAGUAGUCC
rnacentral:rRNA from 1 species